UGGCAGUUGAGAUUCAGACCUUGACAGUUGUAACCGAUAGACUGGGCUGGGGCAACGCUGAUGAAAGGCAAAUUCCUGAGAGAAAAAUCACCCAGAUUUUUCAGUGCCUUCUCUAGCUUUCUAGAAGUUGUUAUGAGUGGACCUGACUACCUAGAGAGAGUAAUACAGAAGCUCCGUGCCGAUCACAGCUACCUCAUUACCAUGUUCCUCCAAGAUGGCCGCCCCUGAGGAGAAUCAUCAACUGGGCUUUACGGAAGAGAGAAAUCCAAACGACCAUCAGCAACAAAUGAAAGACUGAAGUUGAAAGGAAAUCCAUAAUUUUUGAAUGCUGGCCGAGGUCUGUGACCUCUGACUGAAUGGUUUCCAAGCUCCGAAUUCCUAGGUGAUGUUUUCAUUUGUUCACACUUGCUGAAGAAGGGAAAGGCUCUCUGAUUUACGUGUAAGCAAAACAAUCUAAACAGUAGGAUAAAAUCAUGUUGGAAUGGAGUUCUGUGUGGAUGCUCCUUUGAACCAAAUCAGUUCCACAACUGACCCUGUCAGGGACAUAUAAAUUUAGCAUUUUGGUGUGGAUACAGAAGACGAGAUUAACACAGAUCAAGUAACAUGGAAAUAAAAAAGGAGACAAUGCUGGAUGAUACAGGGGCAGCCAACAAGAGGAGAAAACCCAAGCAUUGGCAAAUGCCUCAUUAUCCAAAGAACACUGAGGUGUGGAGCAAAACUGUGUUGAAUGAACUGUAGAUGGAAAUUCUCUCCUUCCCACCGAGGAGCCGCUGCAGGUUGCAGACUCCCAGAAUGCCACACUGAGAAGAGGAGGGCUAAAAUUCUAGAGCAGAAUCCCUGGGGCAGCCCCUGCUGAAGAAGGGUGCAUCUGUUGAGAAUCUCAUCACCGCCCCCACCCCGCCCAGCCUUCAAUUUAGAGGAAUUUCUAGUUCACGCAGAAUGAAGACAAGAUCACAUAAGUGAGGACGACGCCCCAUUUACAAGUGUGAUUUGGAAGACUGAAGUGGAAACCUUGGGAAGGGGCCUCAGAGUAUGUCAGCUGGGGUCAGACGGGAACAGGAGUCUGGCUCAACACACAUUUAUUGCACUCCUGUUUCAUGCCAAGAAAUGUACCAAAAUCUGGGACUGUGUAACACAGCAAAGGAAAAGACUCAUCUCCAGGAAGCCCCCUUGUCUAGGAAGAGAAAUUGAAUAUCAGCAUAAGGUGGUGAAAAGCUGUGAAGGAGAUGAGUGCCAGGAGUCCAUGGAGGAAGGAUUCUAGCCUGGACAGGUGAGGAAUGGCUUUCUGGAAGAAGCAGAUGCCCCAGCUGAACUUUAAAAUGCCCAUGUGAAAUGAACUGUCUGUAUCUUCAAUCAGCAAAUGGAGUAGGUGGCCACUGUUUAAUUCUGGAAUGGGGAAGUGUAAAGGUGUGGUGUGUGUGUUUACCCCUACUUAGGGAUUCAAAACAGACAGUAAAGAACAAAAGUCUAGCCCUUUGAGCAUUCUCCAUGGGACAUUUGAGGUCUAGCUGGCCCCAGAGAAAGAGAGACAGAAGCAAGGUCAUAUCCAUUUGAGAAAAUCAAAGUGUCUGCUCCAAUUGAGUCUGGUGUCCUUAUUCCUGGAAUAGCCAUCCCUACUGCUCUGGUGCUGAUUUACCUCCGGCAGUUCAGUGCUUCCUGGAAGGUGAUUGUGGUGAAUAGUCAUGAGAAUCUGGGAACUGGCUCCUGCUCUGUCUAUCUUGGAGAUGCAUCUUUUAGUCUCCAUGAAUUGCAAGGGAAAACAAGUGGUACACUGGUAUUUCUAUUUGAUAACCUGUUCUCUUUGGAAUUCCGGUUAGAAAUCAAAGGCUUACUUGAGUUUUAAUGCUUUCGGGACUUCAAAUGCUUUUCUAUCUUCCUAAUAAUAUAUUAACAUUUUCUGAAGACAACAUAUAUGUGGAAAACAACAUUAUUUACUCAAAUAAUUUUUUUUGAAAAAUGGACCAAAAAAAAAGAAAAACCAACAAAAA
ensembl:lncRNA LINC01206 long intergenic non-protein coding RNA 1206